rnacentral:rRNA from 1 species
AUACGGAGGGAGCGAGCGUUAAUCGGAAUUACUGGGCGUAAAGCGCGCGUAGGCGGCUUUGUAAGUCGGAUGUGAAAGCCCCGGGCUUAACCUGGGAAUGGCAUUCGAUACUGCAGAGCUAGAGUAUGGUAGAGGGAAGUGGAAUUUCCGGUGUAGCGGUGAAAUGCGUAGAUAUCGGAAGGAACACCAGUGGCGAAGGCGACUUCCUGGGCCAAUACUGACGCUGAGGUGCGAAAGCGUGGGGAGCAAACAGGAUUAGAUACCCCAGUAGUCC